rnacentral:tRNA from 6 species
GGGCGGUUAGCUCAGUGGCAGAGCGCCUCGUUCACACCGAGGAGGUCGUUGGUUCAAGUCCAACACCGCCCACCA